UGGGCGAAAGCCUGACCCAGCGACGCCGCGUGGGGGAAGAAGGCCUUCGGGUCGUAAACCCCUGUUCUGGAGGAAGAACCCAGGAUAGGUGAAUAACCUAUCCUGGCUGACGGUACUCCAGGAGAAAGCCACGGCUAACUGCGUGCCAGCAGCCGCGGUAAUACGCAGGUGGCGAGCGUUGCCCGGAAUUACUGGGCGUAAAGGGUGCGUAGGCGGCCGGACAAGUCAUAGGUUAAAGCCCGGAGCUCAACUCCGGAAAGGCCUAUGAUACUGUCUGGCUUGAGGGCCGGAGAGGCUGGCGGAAUUCCCGGUGUAGGGGUGAAAUCCGUAGAUAUCGGGAGGAACACCGGUGGGGAAGCCGGCCAGCUGGACGGUUCCUGACGCUGAGGCACGAAA
rnacentral:rRNA from 1 species